rnacentral:lncRNA from 1 species
GCUGAGUGUCCUUUACUACUAAGCUUAAGAGUUCAUACUACAGGCACCUGGGGGCCACCAAGAGGUUUUACUGGUCUGGCUGGUUGUUAUUGCUGCUGUUGUUGUUGCUUCGAGUAAGCGGAAGAGAUGAUAGCAGUGUGGAGGACGACUGUGACGGGGUAGAAAGGAAGAAGGGCGCCACUGUAUGCCUGGGCUGCCAUCAGCAGCAUUGACUCAUUGCUAAAAGAGGGGAAAGCUCAGGACUCUAAAUCCUGAAUCCUUCAGACAGUCCUGCCAUUUCCCAAACAUUGCACCAACAUCAUGAAAUACUUUAAAAUCAAUAAAAAUGCAUGUGGCAGAAGGCAAUUAUUCAUACAUUAUCUGAAAACAAUAAAGGAAGAUAUACCUUCCAUUCAAUUUUCAGGAUUAUAUAUAUUACAGGUGA